GCCACUGUUACUCAGAGGGACUGCUCAGCUGGCACCAAACCCGUCCAUUGACUUUAUCGUCCUUCGGGUAUCUGUGUCGCCUGGAAGGAACUCCGGCCACCCUGGAGUUAUGCUGUAGACUUCUCCUACCCAACACCCUCCAAUGGAUCAUCAUCAAGCACUCUCCAUUUUGUCCCCAGAGAUCUCCAUGGGUUCCCCCACUCACUUAUUGCCUCCAUGUUGAUCCAAUUCACCAAUAUCUUUUGCCUAAAAAACUGUAAUAUCCUUCUCUAACAUUUCUUCCUGCAUAGGCUAUUAAAUCCUUCCAAACCAUUCUCUUCUCAGCAGCCUGAAUGAUGUUUUCAAAAUGCAAUUCCAAUCACAUGCCCUCUCUCAACU